rnacentral:rRNA from 1 species
UACGGAGGGAGCUAGCGUUAUUCGGAAUUACUGGGCGUAAAGCGCACGUAGGCGGCUGUUCAAGUCAGAGGUGAAAGCCUGGAGCUCAACUCCAGAACUGCCUUUGAAACUAGACAGCUUGAAUCCAGGAGAGGUGAGUGGAAUUCCGAGUGUAGAGGUGAAAUUCGUAGAUAUUCGGAAGAACACCAGUGGCGAAGGCGGCUCACUGGACUGGUAUUGACGCUGAGGUGCGAAAGCGUGGGGAGCAAACAGG